GCCUACCCCAAGGCUUAAAAAUCAAAUGGAACCAAAUCCUGAACACAAAUACAGAGAAAACCCUUCUUCUUUUUGCAUAUGUGUAUGGGACAAAUUUACCCCCUUUGCAUCCUGUUCCUCUUGGUACAUUUGUGUAGUUGGUGCACAUUGUGUCUCUUUUGUGGUUUGUGUAUGGUCCCAUUUGUGUUCAGCCUCCUCUCUCCCUGUCCCUUUUUCUUGCUCCGCUUACCCACCUGUCUGGAUGUGUUUGGGCAUCUGUCUUGUCAGCAUGUUUGCCCCCUCUACUUGACACACUGUUCAUCACUGUCAAAAGCCCAUUCGCUCAGGCCAGUGCCAUUUGGGAAUGCAGGAACUGCACAUCAAAGCCCCAGAGUUCUGGAAAGCUCUUUCCCUACCAGUGGCUCAUGGUUCCCAGGACUGGGUGAGAAACCUGACUAUCCAAACUUACACAGUUCAUUAAUGCUUCCACAGAUCACUGGAAGCUCCAGUUCCCCUUCCCCAUCAGUGGAUCCAAGAUAGCUCCACGGGGCAACUGUCUGCCAUUUACCCAAGGGCUUGUAAAACUCGCCAAACUUCCUCAUAAACUCCCAGCAAAGAGGGUUUCAUUUUUUAAGAAAUUCCAGCCCAGCUCAUAUCAGAUUCCAGAAACCUCGGUGGGGAAGAGUGGUGGAUGCGGUCUCCAGAAGCAGCAAUCGGGGGCAGAAAAAGGGUAUUUCAGGUCUGGAGCCAGGAUAACAGAACAGUUUUAUGUCUACUCCAAAACUGCAAAGUGUGUUUAGGCUUGUGACCUAAGUACAGACAUUUGCACAUCUACUCAGAAAUACGUUCCACCAAGCUUGGGAUUACAUAAAGACAACCGCCAACAUCCUAGGGGAGAUAUCAGUCCUAGGAGAAAACAACAAAAAGUCUGGUUUGUAAACAUCCCCACAAGAGAAAGAAAACAGAACACAAGGCAAGAGCAAAACAUCAGAGAAGGAGUUUUUUCUGUGGUCCUCUAAAGAUGAAAUGUGAGCAGUAACAUGGAGACAGCCGAGGAAUAAUGCAUUAUUAACAAUUUAAGAGCAAACCACCCAUUCUUGCAGCAAGUCAAACAGCGAGCUAAAUGUCCAUGUAGUCAGCCUCUUAAGAUUUUUUUUAUGCAGGUGAAAUCUUUUAUUUAUCUGAUAUUUUAAGUAAUGAUAAAAUGUUGAAAAUUGUAACAAACAAAAUAUGUCUGCAGGUUUUGCCCUCUUUUUCCACAUGCUAGAUUGUAUAUCUGUGUAUCAAAGUCCAUAUAACAUGCUUCUCAGUAGUUUUCCCAGAUAGAGCUUAUUUUCUUUG